rnacentral:rRNA from 1 species
AGUUGCCAGCGAGUCAUGUCGGGAACUCUAACAAGACUGCCGGUGCAAACCGUGAGGAAGGUGGGGAUGACGUCAAAUCAUCACGGCCCUUACGUCGUGGGCCACACACGUGCUACAAUGGUAGGGACAGAGAGCAGCCACGCCGCAAGGCGGAGCGAAUCUAUAAACCCUAUCUCAGUUCGGAUCGGAGUAUGCAACUCGAGUCCGUGAAGCUGGACUCGCUAGUAAUCGCAUAUCAGCCAUGAUGAAGUGAUACGUUCCCGGGC